GGAGUCAGUUCUGUAGGAAGCUCAGGAUGGCUUCUGGAAAGUGUCUAAGCAGCACCAGCUAGUGGGGAUCCAGACACAGCUCAAAGGAGUUCAGGAAAGAAAACAGGCCAUCUGAGCCCUAGAGGAUCUGUUCAGAUGCAAACCUGACCAGGGGCUUUGGGACCUGGAAAAGCUCGAGGCACACUGCGUUCUCCAUGGUGGUGGCCCUUGUGUUCAGUGUUGAGCAACCAGAAAUGUCAAGAAUUGGCUGUAAACCAGGACUCAUCCCCUUUUGCC
rnacentral:lncRNA from 1 species